rnacentral:rRNA from 1 species
ACUUAAAUUGAAGAGUUUGAUCAUGGCUCAGAUUGAACGCUGGCGGCAGGCCUAACACAUGCAAGUCGAGCGGUAGCACAGAGAGCUUGCUCUCGGGUGACGAGCGGCGGACGGGUGAGUAAUGUCUGGGAAACUGCCUGAUGGAGGGGGAUAACUACUGGAAACGGUAGCUAAUACCGCAUAAUGUCGCAAGACCAAAGUGGGGGACCUUCGGGCCUCAUGCCAUCAGAUGUGCCCAGAUGGGAUUAGCUAGUAGGUGGGGUAACGGCUCACCUAGGCGACGAUCCCUAGCUGGUCUGAGAGGAUGACCAGCCACACUGGAACUGA